UCUUAUGGAUGAGCAAAGAAAGUGGUUUCCUGUGGUAGAAUCUACUCCUGGUGAAGAUGCUGUGAA
rnacentral:pre_miRNA from 1 species